GAGCUGUGAUGACACGCCUAGCUGAUGGUGGGUCCAUCAGAUUAGCUUGAUUUUCAAGAUUAUACAAAACUGGCCCUUCUGAGCUC